rnacentral:rRNA from 1 species
UACGAAGGGGGCUAGCGUUGUUCGGAAUGACUGGGCGUAAAGGGCGCGUAGGCGGAUGGCACAGUCAGAUGUGAAAUUCCUGGGCUUAACCUGGGGGCUGCAUUUGAUACGUGUGAUCUAGAGUGAGGAAGAGGGUUGUGGAAUUCCCAGUGUAGAGGUGAAAUUCGUAGAUAUUGGGAAGAACACCGGUGGCGAAGGCGGCGGCCUGGUCCUUAACUGACGCUGAGGCGCGAAAGCGUGGGGAGCAAACAGG